rnacentral:rRNA from 1 species
AAUCAACGCUGGCGGCGUGCCUAACACAUGCAAGUCGAACGAGAAAGCGGGGGCAACUCCGUGAGUAAAGUGGCGACCGGGUGAGUAACACGUGACUAACCUACCUUCGAGUGGGGGAUAACCUCGGGAAACCGGGGCUAAUACCGCAUAACAUCGUCGGGUGAAAUUCCUGACGAUCAAAGCAGCAAUGGGAUUGAAGAGGGGGUCGCGGCUGAUUAGCUAGUUGGGGAGGUAACGGCCCACCAAGGCAGUGAUCAGUUUCCGGACUGAGAGGGAGCACGGACACACUGGAACUGAAAUGCGGUCCAGACUCCUACGGGAGGCAGCAGUGGGGAAUUGUGCGAAUUGGGGGAAACCCUGACGCAGCACCGCCGGGUGGAGGUUGAGGUCCCUUGGGACGUAAACCCCUUUCGACCGGGACGCUAAUGACGGUACCGGUGGAAGAAGCCCCGGCUAACUCCGUGCCAGCCGCCGCCGUAAUAC